UACAGAGGUCCCAAGCGUUGUUCGGAUUCACUGGGCGUAAAGGGUGCGUAGGUGGUUGGGUAAGUUUGAUGUGAAAUCUCCGGGCUCAACCCGGAAACGGCAUUGAAUACUAUUCGACUGGAGGGUUGGAGGGGGGACUGGAAUUCUCGGUGUAGCAGUGAAAUGCGUAGAUAUCGAGAGGAACACCAGUGGCGAAGGCGAGUCCCUGGACAACUCCUGACACUGAGGCACGAAAGCUGGGGGAGCAAACAGG
rnacentral:rRNA from 1 species